GCAACGGUGCACUUGGCGGAAAGGCCUUGGGUGCUUGCUGGCGAAUUGCAAUGUCAUUUUGCGUGGGGAUAAAUCAUUUGUAUACGACUUAGAUGUACAACGGGGUAUUGUAAGCAGUAGAGUAGCCUUGUUGUUACGAUCUGCUGAGAUUAAGCCUUUGUUGUCUGAUUUGUU
rnacentral:rRNA from 4 species